UACGUAGGGUGCAAGCGUUGUCCGGAAUUAUUGGGCGUAAAGAGCUUGUAGGCGGUUUGUCGCGUCUGCUGUGAAAAUCCGGGGCUCAACCCCGGACUUGCAGUGGGUACGGGCAGGCUGGAGUUCGGUAGGGGAGACUGGAAUUCCUGGUGUAGCGGUGAAAUGCGCAGAUAUCAGGAGGAACACCGGUGGCGAAGGCGGGUCUCUGGGCCGAUACUGACGCUGAGGAGCGAAAGCGUGGGGAGCGAACAGG
rnacentral:rRNA from 1 species